CUCGGCGGGAGCGCCGCCGCGCUCCCAAGCGGCGCACUCUCCAGUGCACCACCGGGCUGGCCCUUUAGAAACCUUUUGAAAGUAUUUCUGUAACAAGAUUUAUCUGAGAAAUAUUUCCAGAUUGCAGCACUCCAGAAAAGAUGCUCUCACAAGAACACUUGCCUAGCAACAGCUGUCUCCACCAAUAGGCUAACGCCAGCUCCUGCAAUGAGUUUCUGUGACCAAUGAAAUUUUUUUCAGAGCAGCUUAUAUGGACGUCUUUUUGCCUUUAAAAGCCUUCCCUUACCUCAACCUCUCCGGAUGCACUUAUGAUGUAUAACCUGUGCAUCCUAGAUUGCAAUAAUCUGUCACUCGUUUCCAAAUAAAAUCAUUUCUUUGGAGA